rnacentral:rRNA from 1 species
AUUGAACGCUGGCGGCAGGCCUAACACAUGCAAGUCGAACGGGCUGGCGGACGGGUGAGUAAUGUCUGGGAAUCUCCGUGGUAGUGGGGGAACUCCUCCGGAAGGGGGCGCUAAUACCGCAUAAUAUCAGGUGCCCCUAGGUCGGAUUAUCGAGUUGGUGGGGUAAAGGCCUACCAAGGAGACGAUCCGUAACUGGUCUGAGAGGAUGAUCAGUCACACUGGAACUGAGACACGGUCCAGACUCCUACGGGAGGCAGCAGUGGGGAAUAUUGGACAAUGGGCGAAAGCCUGAUCCAGCCAUGCCGCGUGUGUGAAGAAGGUCUUCGGAUUGUAAAGCACUUUAAGUUGGGAGGCGUUACCAACAGAAGAAGCACCGGCUAACUUCGUGCCAGCAGCCGCGGUAAUUC